AAAAAAAAGCCUUUUGUGAGAAUCUAGAUGCGGAAUCUUGGGUAGGAUGAACUACAACUACAAGUGCCAAGCUCAACUAGCUUAUAUAAAUUGAGCGAUCAUAGUAGCCUUUAUCGUGGCAGAAUGGAGCUUUAGAGUCCAUUAUAUGAACCCAAAUGCUUCAAAUCAUAGUUUAUGUAGUUCAUUUUAGAAUUUCGUUUGUUCAUUAUGUAAAUUGUGAUGUGAGAAAACGAGCAAUGAUAAUAUAUGAGCGUGGGAUGCCUUUACUUUCUAUUCUUAUCAUCCAUUUGAGACCACAAAUUGUGUUAAAUAUUUGCCACUUAUGUAAAUCAAUUGCAGUUCACUUUUGGGCACCGACUUUUA
rnacentral:misc_RNA from 1 species